rnacentral:rRNA from 1 species
UACGUAGGGUGCAAGCGUUAUCCGGAAUUAUUGGGCGUAAAGAGCUCGUAGGCGGUUUGUCGCGUCUGCUGUGAAAACUGGAGGCUCAACCUCCAGCCUGCAGUGGGUACGGGCAGACUAGAGUGCGGUAGGGGAGAUUGGAAUUCCUGGUGUAGCGGUGGAAUGCGCAGAUAUCAGGAGGAACACCGGAUGGCGAAGGCAGAGUCUCUG